UGACCUCAAAUCAGGUAGGACUACCCGCUGAACUUAAGCAUAUCAAUAAGCGGAGGAAAAGAAACUAACAAGGAUUCCCCUAGUAACUGCGAGUGAAGCGGGAAAAGCUCAAAUUUAAAAUCUGGCAGUCUCUGGCUGUCCGAGUUGUAAUCUAGAGAAGUGUUAUCCGCGCUGGACCGUGUACAAGUCUCCUGGAAUGGAGCGUCAUAGAGGGUGAGAAUCCCGUCUUUGACACGGACUGCCAGGGCUUUGUGAUGCGCUCUCAAAGAGUCGAGUUGUUUGGGAAUGCAGCUCAAAAUGGGUGGUAAAUUCCAUCUAAAGCUAAAUAUUGGCGAGAGACCGAUAGCGAACAAGUACCGUGAGGGAAAGAUGAAAAGAACUUUGGAAAGAGAGUUAAACAGUACGUGAAAUUGCUGAAAGGGAAACGCUUGAAGUCAGUCGCGUUGGUCAGGGAUCAACCUUGCUUUUGCUAGGUGUACUUUCUGGUUGACGGGUCAGCAUCAAUUUUGAUCAUUGGAAAAAGAUCAGGGGAAUGUGGCAUCCUUGGAUGUGUUAUAGCCCUUGGUUGUAUACAAUGGUUGGGAUUGAGGAGCUCAGCACGCCGCAAGGCCGGGUUUUACCACGUACGUGCUUAGGAUGC
rnacentral:rRNA from 2 species